rnacentral:rRNA from 1 species
AUUAAAGAGUUCUAUAACUCCCAAACCCAUGUGAACAUACCUAACGUUGCCUCGGCAGGUCGCACCUACCUUGUAGCACCCUACCCUGUAGGGCCUACCCGGGAGGUGCGGGUAAGCCUGCCGGCGGCCCACCAAACUCUGUUUGAUAUUGAAUUCUGAACCUAUAACUAAAUAAGUUAAAACUUUCAACAACGGAUCUCUUGGUUCUGGCAUCGAUGAAGAACGCAGCGAAAUGCGAUAAGUAAUGUGAAUUGCAGAAUUCAGUGAAUCAUCGAAUCUUUGAACGCAUAUUGCGCCCAUUAGUAUUCUAGUGGGCAGGACCGUUCGAGCGUCAUUUCAACCCUUAAGCCUUCGUUGCUUAGUGUUGGGAGCCUACGGCAACGUAGCUCCUCAAAGUUAGUGGCGGAGUUGGUUCACACUCUAGACGUAGUAAUUUUUUAUCUCGCCUAUUAGUUGGACUAAUCCCCUGCCGUAAAACCCCCAAUUUAUCAAGGUUGACCUCGAAUCGGUUCAGACAAACUCGCUAAAUUGAAGCAUCUUAGUCAGCGAAGGAAAAGAAACCAACAGGGAUUGCCCU